CAGAAUUGCCCGAUGAUGCUGGAUGCAAUUACCAGCGAAACGUCGUACUCGAAAAUCGAAAAUGUUGUGGUUUCACGCUUCAACACACCGGCCACGACAUGGGAUACAGGGGCACACGCGUUCGCCGGAUCAUGAGACGCUCCGGAAAAUCGCGGAGCAACAACGACAAUUUCACAUUCACGUUGGGGUCAAGCCCGGAUUAAGCGGAGUGCUUCAUCGCCGUGACGUCUCCUUCGUGUCUGUGCAUCGGGCAUUGCGUCGCGUUGUAAGUUGUCCGCUCUGUCCUGGAUGACCACAGUCGCUCACUGCUGCAGAGUUUAAUUUUUAUUUUCCAUUCGUGCAUCAGGUAAUCAGCAUCUGCCGUUGUUUGCGCGGAAUGCGACAUAUUUGCGAGCCCAUUCUAAUAUCAACCAUUGCUGCUGCCAUCACUGCAGUUUUUGAUGCAAUAAGCGCUCAGUGGCCCCGGUUGUCGAAGGAGAGAGAUGCCCCAGGAGCGGGUCAGUCGCGCCGCUGAUAGUUUCGCAACGAUCGCCAAUCGAAUUCGGGUCGCUGGGUUCAUUGGAAAGUGCCCCCCCAACACUAAUCACCUCCCCCCAUUCACUGCCUCGUGCCACGCUUGAUAAAUAAACCGGGAACGUUGCUUAAGGAACAAGUGAGGACCUUGUUCUAUCCCGAGGGGGGGGGUGUGGGGGGGGGGGGGGUUAAACCCACGCAAGAGAUAUUGAGCAAGCACAGUCAUCGAUAUCCUUGGGUUCAGAAGAAUCAGAAUAUGUAUUUAUACUGGAAGAAUCCGAUUAUCUGUAAGCUGUUUUUAACAGGUAGCAGGUCAAAACGUUACUACAGCAACAAACAAUAAGAAAAUAUCUUGAUUUGAAGCUUUCGUGACUCCAGGAAUCCGUACUAUUUGU